GACGAACGCUGGCGGCGUGCCUAAUACAUGCAAGUUGAGCGCUGAAGGUUGGUACUUGUACCAACUGGAUGAGCAGCGAACGGGUGAGUAACGCGUGUGGAAUCUGCCUUUGAGCGGGGGACAACAUUUGGAAACGAAUGCUAAUACCGCAUAAAAACUUUAAACACAAGUUUUAAGUGUGAAAGAUGCAAUUGCAGCACUCAAAGAUGAUCCCGCGUUGUAUUAGCUAGUUGGUGAGGUAAAGGCUCACCAAGGCGAUGAUACAUAGCCGACAUGAGAGGGUGAUCGGCCACAUUGGGACUGAGACACGGCACAAACGCCUACGGGAGGCAGCAGUAGGGAAUCUUCGGCAAUGGACGAAAGUCUGACCGAGCAACGCCGCGUGAGUGAAGAAGGUUUUCGGAUCGUAAAACUCUGUUGGUAGAGAAGAACGUUGGUGAGAGUGGAAAGCUCAUCAAGUGACGGUAACUACCCAGAAAGGGACGGCUAACUACGUG
rnacentral:rRNA from 1 species